rnacentral:rRNA from 1 species
UCCACGCCGUAAACGAUGAAUACUCGUUGUCUGCAAUAUACAGUAGGCGACUGAGCGAAAGCAUUAAGUAUUCCACCUGGGGAGUACGUUGGCAACAAUGAAACUCAAAGGAAUUGACGGGGGCCCGCACAAGCGGAGGAACAUGUGGUUUAAUUCGAUGAUACGCGAGGAACCUUACCCGGGUUUAAAUGCAGGACGAAACUCUGAGAGAUCGGAGCCUCUUCGGACGGACU